UAAUACGUAGGGUGCGAGCGUUGUCCGGAUUAUUGGGCGUAAAGGGCUCGUAGGCGGUUUGUCGCGUCGGGAGUGAAAUCCACUGGCUAACUGGUGGCUUGCUUUCGAUACGGGCAGACUGGAGGUAUGCAGGGGAGAACGGAAUUCCGGUGUAGCGGUGAAAUGCGCAGAUAUCAGGAGGAACACCGGUGGCGAAGGCGGUUCUCUGGCAUGUCCUGACGCUGAGGAGCGAAAGUGUGGGGAGCGAACAGGAUUAGAUACCCUGGUAUCCACACCGUAAACGUUGGGCGCUAGGUGUGGGAUCCAUUCCACGGGUUCCGUGCCGCAGUAACGCAUUAAGCGCCCCGCCUGGGGAGUACGGCCGCAAGGCUAAAACUCAAAGGAAUUGCGGGGGCCCGCACAAGCGGCGGAGCAUGCGGAUUAAUUCGAUGCAACGCGAAGAACCUUACUGGGUUUGACAUACGCCGGAAAGCUCUAGAGAUAGAGCCCCUUUUAGUCGGUGUACAGGGGUGCAUGGCUGUCGUCAGCUCGUGUCGUGAGAUGUUGGGUUAAGUCCCGCAACGAGCGCACCCUCGUCCCAUGUUGCCAGCAGCACCCUUCGGGGUGGCUGGGGACUCAUGGGAGACUGCGGGGUCAACUCGGAGGAAGGUGGGGAUGACGUCAAGUCAUCAUGCCCCUUAUGUCCAGGCUUCACGCAUGCUACAAUGGCCGGUACAAAGGGCUGCGAUCCCGUGAGGGGGAGCGAAUCCAAAAAGCCGGUCUCAGUUCGGAUUGGGGUCUGCAACUCGACCCCAUGAAGUCGGAGUCGUAGUAAUCGCAGAUCAGCAACGCUGCGGUGAAUACGUUCCCGGGCCUUGUACACACCGCCG
rnacentral:rRNA from 1 species